UCCAGGGUAGCCUAGUGAACAUGGCAUCGGUAAGCGGAAUACUAUGGGUUCGAUUCCCAUCUCUGGAC